rfam:Nicotiana attenuata strain TT scaffold18023, whole genome shotgun sequence.
GGAUGCAAUCAUACCGGCACUAAAGCACCGGAUCCCAUCAGAACUCCGAAGUGAAGCGUGCCUGGGCGAGAGUUGUACUAGGAUGGGUGACCCCCUUGGAAGUCCUCGUGUUGCAUCCC